CUGGUUUCUGCAGCACAUAUAAUAAAAUUAGAGUAAUAUAGAGAAGAUUAGCAUGACCCCUAUACAAGGAUAACACACAAAUUUGUGAAGAGUUCCAUAUAUUG
rfam:Otolemur garnettii contig000751, whole genome shotgun sequence.